AUGAAUAUUCUUGUGUGGAACUGCCGGGGGGCGGGGAACCGCCGGACAGUUCGUGAGGUUUUGGCCCUCUCAAAAGCCAAUUCCCCGUGGCUUGUGUUUUUGUCUGAGACAAGGCAGGCCUCUACAAAGAUGGAGAGAUUAAAACAGAGGUUACAGUUGAAGGGUUUUGCGGGUGUUUCGAGUGAUGGUCUUAGUGGAGGACUCGCACUAUAUUGGAAUGAGAAGCUGAACGUG
rnacentral:rRNA from 1 species